GCUGAGUCUUGUAUUGGAAUGAUGGGAAUUUAAACCCCUUCCAGAGUAUCAAUUGGAGGGCAAGUCUGGUGCCAGCAGCCGCGGUAAUUCCAGCUCCAAUAGCGUAUAUUAAACUUGUUGCAGUUAAAAAGCUCGUAGUUGAAUUUCUGCUGUUUCGUUGACUGCGUUUGGCGUUUGUCAUCGUUGCGGCUUGGUUGGGUUUCGAUUAUUCGUUUCCCGGCGUUUACUUUGAGAAAAUUAGAGUGCUUGAAGCAGGCUUUUGCCUUGAAUACUUUAGCAUGGAAUAACGGAGUAGGACUUUGGUUCUAUUUUGUUGGUUUUAGGAGCCAGAGUAAUGGUUAAUAGGAACAGUUGGGGGCAUUCGUAUUUGACUGUCAGAGUGAG
rnacentral:rRNA from 1 species